UUGCAAGUUGGAUGAGUUUUCAUAGUGAGCCUCCUGUCAUAAAAUGGGCCCCCGGAAGUCUCAUGUUUGUUACGGGGUCAUCUGAGCUAUCAUUUUGGAAUCCUAAUGUGUCUAAACUAGGAGCUUACGUUGGGAGGAAGUAAAGUUUCUAACACUCACCACCCUUAAGUAUCUGAAUAUUGAUGUCUAUCUAUUGCCGGGAGGGGAACUUGUUUGUAUAAGAAGUUGCACCGAUUAUGUAAGGAGAUGUUCAAUUUCCUAUGGUAGUAUGUAAAUGCAUCUGACUUACCUGCUAGUAACCUUUCCUAACAAGUUCUGAAGAAACAACAGUAGAUCUGGUAUCAAUACUUUAUUCAGAAGAGCAUUUCUUCUUACAUGCACAGCUAAGAGUACAUGAAUUGAGCUACUGAAGCCCUUCCUGACCAACCUGGCUAAGGCUCCUUGCAGUUUGUCCUCUUCAUGGUUCUUUGGCAGGCAACAGCGUAAGCAAUUGCCUGGACUAUGAGGCCUUUUGUAGCGGGGUGGGCACUGCCUAGGCAGUUUUUUGAAAAAACUAGGAGCUUUAUUUGUCUUUGACAUUUGUAGCACGAUUAGUUAUUACCUGGAUUAAGUUGUAUAUAUUACAUCGUAUACCUAAUCUGACAAAUAACAGGUUGCAAUCCAAGUUUUGUUGAUCAUGAAGGGUUUGAGCAUGAUAGUCCAUUUAGGUCAUUAGGUCAGCCGAAUGGAAGACCAAUGGAUUUGGAGGGUUUGUCUACAACGCAAACUAAGCUAAUAAUGCCUGUUCAUUGUUUUAUACUUGCCAUGUAUUUUUUUCCUGUAAUUGUCAGAUUGAUGUACAAGUUAAAAUGAUUGUAAAUAAAUUAUAUAUUAUAAUUUUAAAAAUAUUAUAAGCCCAUUGGUUUCAUAUAUAUAUAUAUAUAUAUAUUAGCUUUCUCUCCUACACCCAGGCUUUAUGCCUCUCGUGCCUCAGUUUGAUGUGAAGAAAUGGUCCAUCAAGGCCAUUGGUAAUAGUCAGCAAUAGCAAUAUUGCCUUUCUUCAAUCACAGCAAUGUUUAUUGGGUACGCAGGAUCAAUUAUCUUCAGUAAUUAACAAUUUAACAUAAUAAUAUAUCAUGUUUAUAAAUAUGUAAAUAAAUUUUAUUCAAUAUUUAUAGUUUUAUAGUAAUUUAAUAAUAAAAUUUACCAAACAUAUACAACUAUUUUUAUAACUCACAGCUCCUUUAAAAAGAAGUUUUUGUAAACGUUUAAUUAAUUUUCUUUACAAUUGAUUAUUUCUAUAGCACAGCUAACAUCAAUUAUUUUAAAAGCUACAACAUUACCAAAUUGGCCCCUUACUCUUUUUAUCAAAAUUAUUAUUUAAAAGUUCUAACUAUUUUUAUAACUCACAACUCCUUUAAAAAGAAGUUUUUGUAAACGUUUAAUUAAUUUUCUUUACAAUUGAUUAUUUCUAUAGCACAGCUAACAUAAAUUAUUUUAAAAACUACAACAUUACCAAAUUGACCCCUUACUCUUUUUAUCAAAAUUAUUAUUUAAAAAUUCUAAUUGCAACACGUUACCAACUUUUAUUUCACAUCUACAAUUUUUUUUCACAACAGCUAUACCUUAAAAGUCGCAUCAUCUUAAUACCAAAUAGGGCCAUAGUAAUUUGGGACCUUUUUUUCCCCCUUUCUCCUCUUCUUCAUCAACUUAAAAAAAAACUAGAAACAAAUCAGAGAAAUUGAGUAUGAAAUUAAGCAUUAGUCGAGUAUGAAGUUGGGUGAGUCGAGUAUAAAAUUAAGUACUUUUCUAUAUGAUUUUAAAUAAAGGGUAUUUUAAUAUUUUUCUGUGUGAUUUUGGAUAUAUUUCUAUAAUACCAGUAAACUAUGUAAUAAGCAUAUAUUUGUUAUUUUGUUGUGAAUGGGACAUAUCUGGCGCCAUUUGCUCCCGUGACCGAUCUUUAUAACAGAUCCAAUUACCCUCGUUAUAUUCACUGGAUCGAAAGCUGACAUAGCACAAUUCUGAUAUGUAAUGUGAGUGAUGGGAGAGUCACAAAUUAUUGUAUAAAUUUAUUUGAUCUAAAUUAAUUAGUAUAAAUUGAUAGAAAUAUAAAAUAAUAAAAAUAUAAAUCACGUAGACCAAGGUGUAUUUAAUAAAACUAAUAAAAUUUUACUCAAUCAGUUAAUAUAAGAAUUUGUAAUUUUAUUAUUACUCAUGGUACUUGAACAGUGGCUGAUUGGUCAACUAGUGAUAUAAGUGGCAACGACUAAACUGUUGAGUCUCUACGUGGGUUUUCAAAAUGAGUCAAGAGUCAAGAAAUUAGCUGUAAACAUGUCUUUGAGAUGAUACAUUGUCAUCAUCAGCAUCAUAUCCUAAUUGACAAAGAAGGAUUGCGAGGGAAACUAAGCAUGUGCCUUCAUUUUCACUUGAAAUAAAGCGCAAGGGAAAGAUCUCAUGUUAUCACAUGAUGCCGUGUGAUCACCUAGAAGCCCUUCCACGUAUAUUUCUUCUCAAAUUGUCUUCUUCUAAUUUCUUGGGCCACCGCGGAACCACAAUGUCAAUGGAUGAGCGAGUGUUGCUCAGCUCGCAGCAUUUGGAGCCGGAGCUCAGCUUCCCUUAUUUGUUGGUCGUUUGGUAGGCGUCGCCAAAGGGCAAAGAGGAUCCUCUGGCGUUCGUGGAGCUGGUCCUCAAUGCGAUUGAUUUCUUCUCCAAGUUGAGCAAGUCUUUGUACCAUAGCCAUAGAAUUAUUUACUUUGGACCGAUGCAAUUCUCUUCUAAAAAUUUCAGGGAGCACUUUUCAUCUGCACCCAAAGAUUUCAUCAUAAUUUUAUUGUAUACACACUUGCUUCAACAGCUAUCACGGCUCACUCUUUUUUUGUUAAAUAUUGUUGUUGCCAUUAAUUUUGACAUAUUUGACGUUAAAAGACAACUUUACCUUUAUUUAUAUUUUUUAAUACAAAAUUACCAAAAAACCACAACACCAAUUUCUAAUUCCAAUUGACUUGUGGGGAUAUUAAAAUUUAAUUUUGGCAUCUUUGACCUUAAAAGAUAAUUUUACCCUUAUUUAUAUUUUUUAAUGCAAAAUUACCAGAAAAACCACAACACUAGUUUCCAAUUCUAACUCACCUAUGUGGAUAUUAAAAUUUCUUAAAGGUUAGAAAAAAAGUAAAAAUGUGUUGUUCAAAAUAUCUCCUCUGCCAUCAUCCAUAAACGUCCAUUCUUCAUAACAAUCUAGUAAACUUGCAAAAAGCAAGAUCCCAGUCAAUCAACCAGCCAAAAUUCUUCAUAAAGUUUAGCUUUUCUUAAAAAAACUUAAAUCUUGAGUUAAAAAUUUUAAUUCCUGAGACCCUAAAUUAACUGGUAUUGAAAGUCGCAUGUUUCUAUAACAAAAAUCUUCAAAAAUAACACUACAAUGAAAAUCUUCAAGUUAAAUAAAAAUUUAUAUUCAUAAUAUUUAUGAAUAAAUUAUAAAUAAUAUAGAGUGGUUUAAUUGAAUAUAGAGUAGUUUACAAUUUUAUAGUGUAUUCACUAAAUAGGAAUCGAAAUUAUUUGGAAACAUAAUGAGUUAGAAUCAGAAUAUGUAGAAUCGAAAUAAGGAAUUAGAAUCAGAAUAAUUUAUUUACUUGAACUGUAGGAAUCGUAAUUAGAAUGAGUUGUUUACGUGUUUACUUUGUCUUAGAAUCAAAAUCGGAAUUAGUUAAAUUGUAACAAAUUACUAUAAAAUCCUUAAUUAAUUUUUAUCAUAAUUAUUAUUUCUUAUUUUAACUAUUGUGAUUAUUAUUAAUAAAAAAAUUAUUUAUUAACAAUAAUUAUUGUUAAUUAUUAUUAUUAUUAAAAAGUUAACUAAAAAUUAUUAUUAAUUAUUGUUAAUAGAUUAAUUAAUUAUAAUACUUUUUAUUCUUGUUAUUAAUAAUAAUAAUAAUCCAUUUAUAAUUUAUAAUUUUAUUUAUAAUUAAGUGGAAAUUAAAGUGGUAGGGUCCCAAUCAAAAUGUGGCACGAACACAUUUAUCCAACAGCAAGAUUUUUCGAUUGCCAUCCCCACUAAUUUGGUGUAAUGACUAAGAGUUAAUUGAAAAAUAUUUAGUUUAAUUUUACAUUUAAUUUUUUUCAUUUUUGUAUUAAGAAUUAUUUGAAAAAUUAUUAUAUUCCCUUAAUUUUACCAGAAUCCCGUUGACUUAGCCCCGAGUCUCUUGAUUAAAGCGUUUUAAAAAAAAAAAAGUUCAAAAGAUUCAGAUAGCUCACUCGAUUAUAGGGCGUCUGCACCUUACGCUCGCUUUUGUUGUGCUGCCAGUAGCUGCUGCUUCCUUCAAGACCGAGCUCUCUGCCGCUGUUGCUUCCUUCAAGACCGAGCUCUCUAAGCCCCUCACUGUCGAUUUUGACCUUUGCUUCCUUUUGGCUUCACGAUCUAGAAGCCAUCGUCGCUUCAUUCAAGCCAUCACUUCACGAAAGAAAAAAUAAUAAUAAUAAUAGUGGUAAUAAUAAAUACUCUUACAGAUCUCUUCUUCAUCAAAUUUGUAAAAUUUAGAGAAAAUGCAAAACAGCAAUAAUGAUGAAGCUUCGGUGACAAAGACGACGGAGAAGCCGCCGCUGCCGAAGCGAUCGAAGACGAUCUCGACGACACUCACUUCCCAGGCCCACUUUUUCCCGCCGUUCGCCAAACCGACAAGCCGUUCGAUCUCCGCGUGUCCCUUGACUCCGAUGCUGUGGCGUCGUCUUCUUCGUCGUCGUCGUCGAGUAAUGGGUUUAACGAAAGAGACUGGAUGUACCCGUCGUUCUUGGGCCCGCAUAUGGGUCGGAGGCGGAUCAAAGUCAAACCCAAUAAGCUUGAAUUUAAAGGAAAUGAGGAGCAGAAGAAGAUUCAAGAGUUGGGUUCGAAGAAAGAAGAGAAGGAGGUGGCGAGUUUUUCAGUGACUCAGACGAGUUCAGUGAGUCAGUUGAGUGGAAAGACUCGUGGGUUAAAGAGCUCCUUGAUGACGUAUUACAUGGUUAGUAGUUUGAGUUGAGCUCAACUGCUGUAAAUUUCUUUAUAUUUUAGCUUAAAACGUUGACAAAUUAAACUUAAAAAAUCAAUGAAAUGUAAAGCUGGUAUUUUUCUUUUUCUUUUUUUCUUUCUAUCACUAAAGAAGAUAAAGAAUCGUGAUCAUAAAAUCUAAGUAUUACGAAUGCAAUCUUCAUCGCAAUUGAACAUUGUAGGACUAUUUUCUAAAGUUGAAUGAAAUCAACAUAUUCACGCAUACAGCCCAGCAAAAGAAAACUUCACUCAAUGAAAACCGACGCCAAUGCUUAAUUAAAGUCAAACACAUGACAUUAAGAAAUUUCUAAUAAUCUUAGAAAUAAGCUAGUCCAUAAUCACUUGAGAUCAUUUCCUCACCCCAUAAUCCAUCAACUAACUGAGAAAUGACAACUCACCAAUUAGUUUUUCAUCAGAACUCAUAACACAGCACUUACCCAUUCACAUAAUAAAAGUAUUGACAUUAAUGAGAGCGUAACUUAAUCAAAUAAUAAUCCAUUAAUAAAAUGAAAAUUAACAACUUAUACCUUCAUAGAUGAUUCUUGUGCACUUGACUUUCUAAGCAAAGAACGUCACUAUUCUUUUCAAGAAGGCAGCCACCACAAAGCAUAGAAGCUUCUUCAUAUAAUAGUACAACAAUCAAAACCUGAAACAUACGCAUUAGUAUUAAUUUAUUAUAAUUUAGCAGCAGUAAAUAUUUUUAUAAAAAAGUUAUCUGCAGUAAAUAUAAGAAUAACAAAGAAUAAAAUCUUAGAUCAACAACAGAGAACCUAAACUCUACAACUUGCUUGAACUACUAUCAACAUCAUACUGCAUAAUCAAAUAGACAAAAUAGUUUAAUAUAUAAUUUGUAUUGACCUGCAUACUAUCACGUAAAAAAUAUUGUAACAAAAACAAAACAUAAAAUUGUUUGGUGAUCACAAUGGAUCCUGGAAUGACAACAACUACAUUAUUAUAAUGAGUUUGACAUGUCAUUGUACAUGGAUUCGUUAUGAUGAAUCAUGAAACACCGUUGAGUAGUUAAUUCAGCCACUUUUCACCUAUAAAUUUGAUGGCAUACUUUGAAUACACAACAUGGUUAUAAAUAUAAGUUUAGAGAAUUUUUGUGGGAAAGAAUAAUUUUGUUGACAAAAGAUUAAGUACAAAAAUUAUAACAUCUCCAUUUUUAAUAUAGCUGACAUAAGUUAUUCGAGUGAAAAAAAAAAAAGAGGGAACUUAGAUACGCCAUAUUAAAUAGGGCAGUAAUAAAAAAAAUCUAAUUGACAUAAAUUAUUUGAGCAAAUGACAAAUUUUUGCUAAGAAACUCGUUUUCAUUUUUUCCCAAAUAAUAAUCAAUGUUUUUUUCCACUACGCAUCGAAAGAGCUCGCAUCGACAUCAAUCAUGAACCAGUCGUGGCCUAGCUAUAUUGCCUGCAUUAUGAAUACCACCUAUGACCUUUACAGCCUAACCGUUUAUCUCAGUCUAUUUUUAAUACUCAGUCACAGGUCCAGACCAUUCAAGUUCAGGACAUGACCCUACUGGUCCCAUUAUAUAUCUAUUUAAAUUUCUUUUUUUUUAGAAUGUCUAUUUAGAUUUCUUAAAUUUAAAAAACAAAUCAACUUCUAGCCCUUUAAAAAAAAAAAAAUCUAAAAUCAACAAAGCUAUUAAUUUGAAGAUAUUUUGAAUUCCAAUUCCCAAUUAAAAUCAUGAAUAUAUCAGCUAUAUCAUAGCUUCAGCAUAACUAGUAAGUGGUGACAUCAAAUUUUCAAAUAUUUGGAACUGGAAGCAAAUAUCUAGUUAAUGAUUAAAGUAGUUGACGAAUAAAACCUCUCGUAUUAUCAUAGAGGCUACCCCAAUAGCUUGCAAUAACUAUGUAUGGUGCAGUAAAGUUUCAGGAUAGAUGAAUAAACUAAAAAGCAAAAGAGAAAUAUCAGUUGCAGCAAGAACUACGUCAUCUCCACCUCGAUUAUUAUUCAAAUAUUAACACCAAAUGUCACUGAACAACACAAGAGAAACAUGAUCCAUAUUUUAAAUGUAUCUGAAUAGCAUAAAUAUGAAAAUCAUUGCAGAAAGUAAAAAAAAAAAAAGAAAAAAGUAAAGAGAAAUUUAUCUCACAGCAUUCCUAUUAUUAAAAAAUAUCAAAUAAAUGUGCUCCGAGAUAUAACUUCAUGCACAUUCAGAAGUUCUCAGGCCAAAGAACAUUAUAGCAACUACAAAAACUCAUGAGCCAGCAGGUCUUGUCCCAGUACAAGGUGAAGCAACUAAAAUUAUGCUUUAAGAACUUUAUAUAUAUAUAUCACGAACGCAGGAAGAAAAUUAUUUCUAUAUCAAAAUCAAGAUCACCCAACCAAACAAUGGUACCUUCCAAUAUACCUAGUGUAUGUAUAUAGGCAUCCAUUGAUUGAUACUUUGAAUUUAAUUAAUAAAUCAAUUUCAGGUGUCAUGUUUCCACAUUAAAGAGAGAUAAUAACAAUUAACUAGAUAUGACAGGACUGGAUAAAAAUUUGCUCAAAAUAUACUACAAAGAUCAAAUUUUAUUACUUUUCACCUGCUGUCAUUUCUCUCCAACGUCAGAUCAUGACCUCGAGCAACUCUUUCGGCUUUCUUCGCCCAUUUUUCUUCUUUUUACAGCAUGAAGCUAAUACGAAGCCAAAUGAAAAGUAGAUUAGUCAUUUCAAAUUCAAUUUAAUUGUCAAUUGAAAAGUUCAAUUGUUACCUUCAUCAGCUGUAGAAUCAAUAGUUAAUGAAAUAUACAAUAAGAAGAGUAAAAAAUUUCACCUGCAAAUUAGGACAGCCGAGGAAGCAUCCGUAAACAUAAGAGUAAUUAUAUCACUCUGAAAUUUCAUAAGAGAGAAUUAGGACAGCAGCGAAAGAAAUAAACAAAGCAAUUUGCAAAGGACACAGGCAUAAACAUGAUAGUAAGAAUAAAAUAUCAAACUGUAAGAAGAAGCGAGAAAAACAAAUCAAAAACAAACUGAGAAGCAGGAAGAGCUGUGAUGGUAAAUUCUUCAUCUAAAGCAGUUGAAGAACGAGCAAUGGAUACCGGUCCUUCUUCGUGCUAUCGAGAAAGGAGUCAGAGUUGAGAUCGAGAGAACAACGGAGACCGAUUCUUCGUCUCCGUAAUUUUCCCCUUUUUCUAAAAUGCUAUUUCGCAUUUCCUUUGCUUUUUGGUUUCCGUAUUUCGAUUUUGUUUUUAAUUAGGUAAGAAAAAAAGAUCGGGCCCUAUUUCAAAAGAAAAAUAAGAAGGGGCCCUAAAAGUAAUUUUUCCGAGCCCAUGCAUUCGAUUAAAAUAUUUCAUUAUCUUAGUGGACAGAUUGCCCAAGAAAAAAUAUUCGAUUAAAGCACAUAUUUUAAAAGGUAAAUAACGCGCUCAGAGAUGUUUAAUCAAUAAUACAGUUGUUUAUUAUAGUGAUAACUACUACUUAUAUAUUAAUUCUUCAAAAUAAUUCCACAUUUAUCAUAUUAUCAUUUACUUAUUUUGUAAGCGUUUUAAAGAUAUUUAAAAAUUUUUCCAUUUGACAAUGCUCAAUUAAGGGUAAAGUUUAAAUUAUGUCACAAAAAGUUUUUGAACAGCAUUACACAAAGCAUUUACUGUUUUAACAAAAGAAUGCAUAUGAGGGGACAAAAAAAAGUAAAAGUAUGAGUUUGACUAUUAUCACAGUAAUUAUUUCUAUUUCAAAAGUUGAAAUGUGAACCUUAACAUAUUUUGCGGAAUUUUUUCAAUUACUUUUUAAAAUUACAUGUACAUGGAUGAUUGCUUACUAUUGUGAAAGGCGAUAUAUUUAAUUUGAAGAAAAUUCCUUCUAGACCGGUAGCGUUGGUCGUAGUUGCCCUGUCGAAGAAGUGUUGUUAGCUCGAAACCUAUUGCAAAUGUCAAUGCAAAAUGGUUUCAAUGUUUCGUUGUAGAGCUGACGACAAGCUUCUGAAAACAACGUGCCAUAUUGAAACACAACAACAAUAAUGGCAGUGCCAAUCCAUGUCGUGUACAAAAUGAAAUGGCCAAUAUUGGAACGUGGAAUAAAUGUGGAGACCAAUGAUAUUGCCGAAUUCGAUCCUGAGACAAUAGCAACAAGGCCCCAGAAUUGGGAAGAAUUUUCUAGAUGAAGCCGAGACUUGAGGUCUGCUGAAUGUGCAUAACAAUAUAUGGCUGUGGCAAUGAGAAAAGACAAUAUAUUUAUUGAGUGUGUUUCAAGCAAGGGCUUAGUUUUGCCUUGCACAUUUGCACCCACAAUGCCAAUGAGAGCUGGAAUCAGAUAUCCAAAAAUGCUGGGAUAUGACAUCGACCAGAAGAGAUUUCGCCCACUGCAAGAUCAUUAAAAUGAUUAAAUCAUCUUUUGUAUAUCCCAUUUUUUGACAAAAAAUUAAAAUUGAAAAGCUCUUGUAUUAAUUUCCUCUCAGUUUGUCUAUCAAUUUUUUUUCUUUUGACUGAAGCAAUUCUCCUCUAAAAAUUUGAGGGAACACUUUUCAUCUGCACCCAAAUGUUUCAUCAAAAUAUUAUUGUAUACCCAAAUGUUUCAUCAAAAUUUUAUUGUAUACACACUUGUUUCAAUAGCUAUCACGGCUCACCCAUUUAUGUUAAAUAUUUUUUUUUUUGCCAUUAAUUUUGACAUCUUUGACAUUGAAAGACAGUUUUGCCCUUACUUAAAAUUUUUAAGUGUAAAAUCACCAAAAAAAACUACAACACUAGUUUCAAAUUCCAAUUGACGUGUGUGAAUAUUAAAAUUUCUUAAAAGUUAAAGAAAAAAAGUAAAAAUAUUUUGUUAUGGGAAUCAAAAUAUCCCCUGUACCAUCAUCAUCCAUAAUCGUCCAUCCAUGAUAACAAUUUAAUAAACUUGAAAAAGCUAGAAAUCCAAUCCCAGUGCAUCAAACAGCCAAUUUUCUUCAUAAAGUUUAGCUUUUGCUUUUAAAAAUUCUAACUCUUGAGACCCUAAAUAAACCCAUAUUCAAAGUUACAUGUUUCCAUAUAACGAAAAUCUUCAAUUUACCCCUUUAAAAUUUUGAAAACAUUAAUUUACUUCUAUUUAUCAGUCAAAAGAUUAAAAUAAAUGGAGACACGUUGAGGAUAAACUUUUUAACUUCAAAGUGGUAUUUGAUAAAUAUAAAUAAAUUGAAAAUUAUCAUUUUUUAGUGGGAAUAAGUUACUAAGAGAAAGAAAGAAAACAGAAAACAAAUCUCUUCUAUAGCAGUCUUAACAAAAUUUUCAGCAGGGACUUGAACCAAUUUUUUCACGGAAAUUAAUUAACAGAACAAAAACGCUUUGAAGUGGACUGCACAUAUAUAUAUAUAUACUCAAAAAUAAAUAUACAACUGGAGUCAAUAACGGUAAAUAAAAUGAACGUACACAGAAGGGUUUGGAUUUGGAUGAUGAAGAAUGCACUGACAGCUUUGCAUUUGCAUGCAUAUAUAUCUCAGCAAACCCUGGAUUGAGUUCUUUUUCUCUCGGUAAAUAAGGUAGGGAACAGCAAACCCGAUCAAUUUUCAAAAAAGAAAAAACAAAAACAAAAACUGAAAUGUAAACUCAGCAUGAAACUUGGGAGGGAAAGGGGAGGGGUGAAAAACGGUCACCUUGAGAACCGUCUCAAUUAUCUCUGCUUCAAAAAAUCAUCCCGUGGGUAUUUAUAUUUUAUUUUCAAGUCGUUGAUGCCGCGAGUCCACGGCUGGAUAAGUACGGGGUUUCGAAGAAAUAACGUGCGCGAUUCUAAACAUUGUUUAAUUACAAUUCCAAAGUGUUGAAAAUGACUGCGUUAUCCCCCGACUUUUUCAAUUCCUACCGAGUGUUGAAAAUGACUGCGUUAUCCCGUCUUUUUCAAUUCCGACCGAGUGCUGAAAAUGACAGCGUUAUCCCCUGUCUUUUUCAAUUCAAAAGUGUGUGGCAUCUCUGUAGCUCAAUUCAUGUACCCCUAGAUGUACAUGUAAGAAGAAAUGCUCUUCCAAAUAACAUAUUGAUACUAGAUCUACUGUUGUUUCUUCAGAACUUGUUAGGAAAGGUUACUAGCAGGUAAAUUAGAUGCAUAUACAUACUGCUAUAGGAAAUUGAACAGCUCCUUACAUAAUUGGUGUAACUUCUUAUACAAACAAGAUCCCUUCCCGGCAAUAGAUAGACAUCAAUAUUCAGAUACUCAAGAAAUUAUAAGGGUGUUGAAUGUUAGAAACUUUACUUCCCCCCAACAUAAGCUCCCAGUUUAGACAGAUCAGGAUUCCAAAAUGAUAGCUCAGAUGAUCCGAUACAAACAUGAGACUUCCAGGGGCCCAUUUUAUGACAGGAGGCUCUGUAUGAAAACUCAUCCAACUUGCAACCCUGACAAGAAAAAUAAACAACAACAAACAAUGUUUAUAUAAUAACAAUACCAACGUCAAAAGAGUAUAGUAUUUGGAUAUAGAACUCAUUACGCAAACUGGUGCUCAAGGUACUUGCUCAAAUGUAGAAUCAAAAGCAUUGUUGGUUUGCCCAGAAGACUGUGAAUACUAUGACUGGGUCAGUGUAGGGGAAAUAACAUCCCUUUGAAUUCUAAGCAUUCAAAAGGCACGAGAAUCAAGGAAUUUUGCUUAUCAAACCUCUUUCCCGCUCCUUGCACUCCAAGCAUAUACACUACCAUCACCAGAACCUUCCAAAACCCAAGAAAGUAAAAUUAGCACAGAGAGUGCAACUAAUGAGAGGUGCUUGGCCACACUAGGUAGGUUGCUUCCGCAUGUGUGGGUGCACUCACUAUGUCAGCAUUUCAUUGAUUUAUUUUCAUUAACAAGCAGGUCAAUGGAAAAAGAGAACAUAAAUUCAUUGCAAAGAACUCUGUGGAAACAAGCUUGAUGCCCAACAUUUCAAGUCGUGUAUUUCAAAUACCAACAAGGUGGUAACAAAAUUGAGAAUUAUAUACAGCACAAGUGCAAGAACCUUAAUAAACAGCCAAAAGCAAAUAUUAAUAAAUUAUCCAAGUCACUGUGCCCUAAGAACUGAAAGGAGAAACUCUACCUAGCUGAAAGAUGCCUCCAAUGUGGAAUUGCGAGAAACUGGCAUCGCAUUAUAAAUGGAUAAAUAAAAACAACAGCAAACAGAAGCUCAUUAACAGAGAUUCCAAUGUAUAGAGGGAUAUAUAUGUACAAUAUGUUACAUUUGGGAGAUGAAGAAAGAAAAAGUAAACUCACAAGUGUGCCUUGGAAUGAGUGGAGCACAUGAAUAUGUCCUUCCAUAGUGGUCAGAAGCAUGUCUCCCAUCAUUGCUGAGCUUUACCUCAUUAGCAUCUGAUACAUCUCCACCAUCAGAGAAGAUGUCGAAAGGACCCUAAGAGUAUUCAAAUUUAACCAAAUUAGUGCAUGAUAAAAGGACUACGACAUAUAAACUUCCAAGAUAUUCUUAAAUAUUAAUUUUAACCUCAUACUUGCGAGCAUCAAACAAUCUUAUGUAUCCUCCAAAGGCAACUGCAAAGACAUGCCCUUGAUCAUUGUAUGCUGUAGCAGGCCUUCCUUGAACAUGCAAAAGACCCUGAUUUGCCAACAGAGAUCAUAAAUACAAUUGAAAAUGGGGGAAAAAACGGUUUGGAUGUGACCAUGCAUGGCAUGAUAUCCACCUGGCAUUUCUCAGCCUGUUGAUCCCAGAGCAGAACAGUUCGAUGAAGAGAACCAUAGAUAAAGCAAUCUUUGGAGGAGCACAGGCUAAGUGAAACAACCCUAGAAGCAGUAAAACAUAUAUAAAGAUAAUAAUGAUUACAAAACAUUUACAAGAAUCAGCAAAUUACAAACCUUUCAUGAUGACCUUUGAAGCAAUGCAUGAACUUGUUGUCGUGGAAGGAAAGAAGCCUUAGAGAUUCUGAAUAAAUGAACAUAUCAAAUAAGUGCCUAGUAAAGCAAUCCACCAACAUGCAAAACACAAAUAUUCCGAUAAACAUACCAUCCCAACCAUUCUUGAGGAAUAUAUGAAAUGUAAGUUAGGGAUUGCCAAGAAAAAAACUUUGAUCAAUUUCCAGCUGAGAAUAUUUAUGCCAACUCUUGCCGCAAUCACAUCUGCAAUAGUUCCCACUGUUGGAUACACUAACUUAUAAACAGCAAUUCUGACAGAAAAAAAAACGGGGGUUAAAGUUAUAAGUACAAUCAAUUAGGUGGUAGCCAUGCAAUAUGAAUGUACUUGGUUUGCUGCCUAAUAGCUAGGCAUACAUAUAUAUAGGCAUUCAUUAAUAUCGAAUUAUUUUUAACAUUCAAAUAAGUUAGAAAAAACAUAGAAAAACUUACGGGGCACAUAUCGCCAUCCCACUGGCUAGCCCAUAAAAGAAGCCAUCGACGACCUCCGGAACACCAGCAUUUCCAGCAGCAGCUGAUGCUACAUGGCUAAUGUGUACACACACAUGUUCAUCUCUCAAUAUCAGUGUGUGCAAUAAGUGAAAAGAUAUAUAAAUUAGAUUGAAAGCACAAGUAAAUAAACAUGAAUGAAUACCUGCCAUGUCCAACAGCAUGAAAGGGCGAAAGAAAGUCCACAGAAGUGUUAAGAAUAUAUGAAAUGUAUAUUCUUGAGGAAAUUACAACAAUUUCCUCUCAAUUUCACAAUUAUUUGCGCUUGAAUGACAGAAUGAGCUUUGAUCAUUAAUUUAUCCAUGCAUGAAGUUAUAGUAGAUAUGAAAUUACGUGGACAAAAAAUUAUUAUUUUUUACCUUUUUUUACCAACACCGAUAUGCUCACACCAAACUUCUUUUACAGUUAGCACAAAACGGUUCGUUUUGUGCUAACUAUAAAAGAAGUUACUGUAGCUUCAAAACACACGCACUCGUCUUGCUCAGACGCAAGCGCAGACCACACGCACACUCGUCUUACUGAAACGCAAACGCUGAGGAGGCAGAGACUCGCCGUGGAAAGUUUGUUUGACAUAAGUUGUCUGACGAUUUUGCCCUUGAAAUGAAGAUUACGCCUCAUGACUUAAAAUCGCUUGGGUUGUGUUUCUGUUUCUGCGUUUGUUCUUCCUCUUCGCUUUCGGCAAGUGAAAUAAAUGAAUAAACAUUAGAUGGAGUUUUAUUCAAUAUUUAAAAUUUUGUUAAUUUGUAACGUGAUUGGAAUUUUAAUUAUUAUAAGAAAUAAGUUCUGGAUCGGAUUUUAAAAUACUUUAUUUGAAUACUCUAAAAAAUGCAGUAUGUUCACAAACUGUAAUUGCCGAUAUAAUUCCCCAGAACCCCAAUUCCAGAUUACUUAAAUCACGGCGGGGGCUGCGGUAUGUUCACAAGGUAAAAAAUGCAGUACGUUCACCAUUCCAAGUAUAACCCUUUUGACACAGUUCGCCUUCUAUUUCAAAGUUCAUACAUUUUCAAAAUUAUUAAACUAAAAUCAGCCAGAACCAAUUUUUUUUCCUUUUCAACUUCUAUUAAAAUUUCACUAUAAUUUAAAUAAAAUAAAUUAAAAAUCCAGCCCAAAAAACGAUUGCUGCAAUACUGAGUGGCAAAACUUAAUUGCUAUCGUUACCGCAAAAUUCAACACCCAACAACCAAAAUUUCAAUUUCAAAUCUAACCUUAAAUCCACCAACUGAAAACAAAUCCACACGAAAUGCGACAUCAAAUGAAAGGAACAAGAAGUCAAAAUCAAAACCGAUGAAACCUUUAUUAGAGAGAAGAAAGAAAGCUUCGUUGUAUAAAGAGAAUGCGCGCGAUCGAAGGCUGUGCUGUAUAGAAAUAAAACAGCGAUCGAAGAAAGCGUCUUCGCUAUCGUUGUAUAGAGAGAACAGAGCGAUCGAAGACUGUGUCUUCACGAUGGGAGGCUGUGUUGAACAGAACGAUCAAAGACAGCGUCUUCAAGAGAGAGCAUAGAGCGAUCGAAGACUGCGUAUUCACGAUCAGAGGCUGUGUUGAACAGAAGGAUUGAAUGCUGUGCUGUAUAGAGAGAUCGAGGAGUAGAGAGAAGAUACCGGCGAUGACGCAAGAGCAAAGGCUCUGAAUUUAUAGGGGAGGGAUUAGCGCAACUUGACGGCCGUUAUGACCGUAAACGCCUCUGUUAGAUUUAACGGAGAAGUCACGGGGUUACCCGAUGGUCAUCAGCAUCUGGGAAUCUCAUCAGUUUAAUUAGUUAAAAAGAAUUAACCUUUUGCUUCAGAUCAAACGAUUCACAGUUAACCUUGAACAUCAAACAUGCAGGCUAAACUAUCAACUCAUACACAUUGAUUUUUUUUUUUCCGGUGACAUUAACGUCAAUGGUUAAAUAUAUAAGUCUAAAUUCAUAAAAUAUUAAUAUAGUUUAGGGGUCUAUCAAACCAACAGCAUGGUUGAUGUGUUUACUGAAUAAACAUUUAACACCAAAACAAGCUAGACCUACCCCAAACUAUAUGGCGGAUUGGAAGUUUUUGAAUUACCAGUUUCACUGAAAAAAAAGAUGGUGAUAAGUUAGGAUUCUAACGCUCUUUUAUACUAAUGCUGCGUUUACUUUUUGGAUUGGAGUGGAAAUCCUGAGGAGUGGGAAUCCUUGGAUUAGGAGUGUGGAGUGGGAGUGGGAGUAGGGUGUUUACUUAGACUAAAUGAAAGUAUGGAUUGUCAAUCAGAAUCCUAAUUAUUUGUUUACUUUGUCUUGGAUUGGGAGUAAAUUGUUUUAAAUUACCAUUUUAUCCUUAUGUACAGAAUUAUAAUUUGUAAUUAAAAAAUUAAUAAAAAAUAUAUUUAGAAAAUAAAAUAAAUAUUUUAUUAUAUUUAUAAAUUAAUAAUAAUUACUAAUAUUCUUAAUUAUGUAAAUCAUAAUUUUUUUAUUAAUUUAAAUUUAAAUUAUGUGAAUAAAAAUUAUUAAUAAUAGCAACACAAAUGAAAUAUUAUUAUUGAUAAUAUAGUACAAAAUUAAUAUUUUUUUAGAAUAAAAUAUUUAUUAUUAUUAAUUAAAUAAAUAAUUAAUAUUUAUUAAAAUUAAUUUUUAAUAUUAUUAAUUUAAAUAUAAUAUUUAUUUAUUUUUAUUUUAUUAAAUUUAAUAAAAUAAAUAUGAUAUAAUUAUUAUUUUUAAUAAAUAUGAUAUUAUUUAUUUUAUUAAAUAUGAUAUUAUUUAUUUUAUUAAAUAUGAUAUUAUUUAUUUAUUUAUUUUUAUAAGGAUAAAAUGGGAAGAGGGGGGAGUGGGUUCCCACUCCCACCUCCCCCCAUGGGAGUGGGAAUCCCACUCCCCACUCCAAAAUUGGGUGGGACCCACGGAUUCCCACUCCCACUCCCCCCCUUUUUAAGGUAAGUAAAUACUGGAGUGGAAGGAAUCCACACUCCACACUCCCACUCCAGAAAGUAAACACUACCUAAAUCAUAAAACAUAAAUUUACCGAAUUAGGUAACCCGAAUUAUGAUGUCUUAAUAAAGUUGUAAUUGCAAAACAAGCCAAAACUUAAAUCCAAGUCUAAAGAAAAAACCAAAGAUCUGAAAAGAAUUUUAAAAAUUAGAAAUGAAAACUUCAAAUAAUGAAAUGAUACCCAGAGCAAAUGAAAUUGGAGAUGAUAACCAUAGCGUUAGUAACGCGUCGUUAAAUUGUCAUAACUCGAAACCACGUUAUUCGUUCAUGCACGAUACCUCUGGACUGAAGACCCAAAAUAAUAUAUUUUUUUUAAAAGUAAUGAAAACCGAAAUUACAAGUAUUCUACUAUUUUUUUUAAUUUAAAGGGACCAAUGAAAACCGAAUGAUCAAAACUGCGUUAUUUGUUCAUACACGAUACCUUCAGGAUUAUAACUCAUAUCACAUGAGACUAUUUACUAAUAUAUUUAUAAUCAGAUAAUUAUUAGAACAAUAGACCAUAUUUUUUAGGUUUUCAAAUAUUUAAAAAAUGUCUACUCCACUCUCAUUUCGAAAGAGAAAAAAUUACUUUUACAUAAUUAUUUUUAUAAUUGAGAAGAAAAUUUUAGCUUCCACAAAAUGGAUGGAGGGCAGCAGCUCAAGGCAAGUAUUCUCUAUUGUUAAAUUGUCAUUAAUUGGAAAGCGAGUUAUUCGUUUAUACGCGAUACUUUUGGACUCAAGACCCAAAAUGGAUAAUAAAAAAUUGAAAAAAAUUCAAAGAAAGAAGUAAAAAGUAAUAAAACCGAUAUUACGGGUAGUCUACUAUUCUUCUUGUCAUGAGUCGACUUUUUCCAAAAAAAAACCAACAGUAAAGUAAAAAAAAAGAAAAAAUAGUUAAUGGAUAUUUCUACGUAAAUGGUGUCAAAUAACAAGUUUAUUUAUUUAUUUUUUGGGGAUGAAAUAACAAGUUUAAUUAAAUAAUAUGCAUAUGUCUUAUACACAUUUUUGCUUCUUUACCCUCUGUGUUGAAUGAGAAUGAAAUUGACCCGGACAAGGACAGUAUGGCGUAACUCUUAUUUACUACUUGAAUUCCUCUCUCUUUAUUCUUUCCCAAUAACCCCAUUUAUAACACUAUUUCUUUGAUAUUUUUGUAAUAUUUUAUCACAAUAUAUAUUUAUUGCAGUGCACAAUUAAGAUUUAACAAUAGGGUUAUAAAUUUGAUAAGCAUAAUAUUGUUAACUGUUAAGCAUCCCACUUAUAUAUAUAUAUAUAUAUAUAUAUAUAUAUAUGAUAAUUACAACACCUUUAAGUAGCAUAGUUCUACUUACAAAUUUAAAUACAGUGUUAAGUUGAGCUGUGUUAAUUGAUAAAUCUUGAUUUUAAAAAAAAAAUUAGAGAAGAAAAGAGUAAAGAAGGAACUAAGAAGAAAUAACUUUAAUAUAUUAAAAAUUAUAUAAACUUAAAAGGGGGCUUUUAGGACAAUAAAUGAUAUAUACAUUUUUUAACAAAAGAAAUUUAAAUUUAUUUUUAAAGUCACCAGGAGCUUCAAUUCUUAGUGGGCACCAUAUGGCAUGUGGAAUCAUUCAAGGGUCUUAUAGUAAGUAAAUCGCUUUCCUUUUUAUAUGUGAAUAGAGAUAGUAUGAAUGAGCAUAUGAUUUUUUUUUUCAAAUAUUGAAAAAGAAAUAAAUAUAUUUUAUAAAAAAAAUAAAAUAAAUAUGUCAUUCCGAAAUUUACAUUAAAAACUGCAUACUUAAGAUUUUAAUUAAAUCAUGCUUAUUCAAAUUUCAAACAAAAAUAAAAAUAAACAUCACCAUUGACCUUUAAUUAAAAAGUGUAGGGGGUAAUAGUGAAGACGAACUUUUUUAUAAUAGCGAUUAAAACAUGACCCUAACUCUAAUUGUAGGGUCAAAUUUAUAAAAAGUAGUAACUUUUUUUAACGCAGGACGGACUGAUUUUAUUGUUGUAGGUAAUCUCGUGUCAUACGCAAAGUGAAAAAGAGUGUGAAACGACGAUAUUAUUCCAAGCACAUGCUUGGGCGCGGCGGGCCCUCGCAAACCCAUUUUAACACCGCGUUAGCCUUGUUUGGCUAAAUAAUAUGCAUAUGUCUUAUGAACGUCUUUACUUCUGACCCCAUGCGUUGAAUGAGAAUGAAACUGACACAAAAAAAGACAGUAUGGCUUAUCUUUUAUUUAUGACUUUGAAUUCCCCUUUCUUUAUUCUCUCUUAAUGACCCCAUUAACAACGCUAUUUCUUUGAUAUUUUUAUAAUCUAACUCGCUUGGUUCACUUAGUGAGGUGAGCUUCAAAAUAUUGGUCUUGUACCCUUCAGGAUUUAAAAUCUCUGUUAACUAUGUGACACGUCCAUCUUGUUUCCUCCUAAUUUGCUCCCCUAUGGCAUUAAGGUGAAUCUUCUUCAUUCACAGAGAUGUUAAGUAACUCAGCAUUAUCAGCAAGACCUAUUCAAAUUGUGUUUGUGUAUGUAUGUUGUAGCUUUCUCUCCUACGCCUAGCCUUUAUGCCUCUUAUGCCUCAGUUUGACAAGGCCAUUGGUAACAAUCAGCAAUAGCAAUACUGCCUUUCUUCAAUCAUAGCAGUGUUUAUCGGGUACAUAAGAUCAAUUAUCUUCUUAUUAAUUAAAAAAAUAAUAAAAUAAUAUAUAUUUAUAAAUGUAUAAAUUAAUUUUAUUUGAUAUUUAUAUUCUUACAAUAGUUUAACAGUAAGAUUUACCGAACAUAUACGAUUGCUUUUAAAACGCACAAUACUUUUAAAAAUAAAUUUUAGUAAACGUUUAACUGAUUCUCUUUACAAUGAUUAUUUCUAUAGCAUAGCUAACAUCAAUUAUUUUUUAAAAGUCCUAAUAGCAAUUCAUUACCAACUUUUUUUUUGCCACAACAGCUAUAGCUUAAAAGUCGUAUCAUCUUAAUACCAAAUAGGGCUAUAGUAAUUUAGUGCCCAUUUUUUUUCUUUUUUCUUUUUCUUUAGCAACUUAAAAAAAAUCUAAAACAAAAAAGGAAAAUUGAGUAUGAAAUCAAGCAUUAGUCAAGUAUAAAGUUGAGUAAGUCGAGUAUAAAAUUAGGUACUUUUUAUAUGAUUUUAAAUAAAGGGGAUUUUAGUUUUUUUCUUUGUGAUUUUGGAUAUAUUUCUAUAAUACCAGUAGAGUAAACUAUGUAAUAAGCAUAUAUUUUUCAUUUUGCUGUGAAUGGGACAUAUCCAACGCUAUUUGCUCCCGUGACCGAUCUUUAUAACAAAUCCAAUCGCCCUCGUUAUAGUCACUAGAUAGAAAGUUACCAUAGUACAGUUCUUAUAUGUAAUGUGAGUGAUGGCAGUGUUACGAACCUUUGUAUAAGUUUAUUUUGUAUAAAUUAAUUAGUAUAAACUUAUUGAUUGUAUGAAAAUAUAAAAUAAAAAAUAUAAAUAAUGUAGACUAAUGUGUAUUUAAUAUAACUAAUAAAAUUUUGCUACAUCAGUUUAUAUAAGAAUUUAUAGUUUUAUUAUUACUCAUAUUAAGUAAACAGUGCGUGAUUGGUCAGACGGCGGCAUAAGUGGCAAUGACCAAAUUGUUGAGUCGCUGACGUGGGUUCUCAAAAUGAGUCGAUAGUCAAGAAAUAAGCUAUCAAGUUAUGACAAUAUAUUGUAAACAUGUCUUUAAGAUGAUACAUUAUCAUCAUCAAUAUCAUAUCCUAAUUGAAAAAGGUUUGCAAGGGUCCGCCGUGUCCGAGCAUGUGCUUUCAUUUUCACUUGAAAUAAAGCGCGAUGGAAAGAUCUUAUUUUAUCACAUGCCGUCCAUGUUGGGGAAAAAUCAGAUUUUUAAAUUUUUAUAAAACCUUUCGAAGAUUGCUCUCAUAUAAUAUAUAAGAAUACGUAAUCUAGAAAUCAUACCUUGAAAAUCUGAUUGGACUUUUUCUGUUGAAGUGAUUUAGGCUCCUAGAUCACGAUCCGCCACCACCACUCCUGUUAGAUCACGAUCUGUCACCACCACGCUUGUUAGAUCACGAACUGUCACCAAUGAUCUUCCAGGUUAUGACUCAGGUUCGAUUUGCACUUGACGUGUGAACGCCUUUAUCACUACCAAAACAACUAGCACGAGAAAAUUUUUCUCUCAACAACAGAGAGAAAAUUUUUUUUCUCUGAUCUGUAUAAAGUGGCUUCUCCUUUUUCUUUUUAGAAAAUAAGCCUUAUAUAUCUCCCUUUAGUGAAAAUCCUAGGCUCCAAAUAAUACCCCAAAAUAAAACUCACCGUUACUUUUUAUUUUAUAAGGGACCCACCAUGUAAAAUAACAUAAGGCCCCUUACACAUAAGCUAAUUAAAUGGAGCCUCCCACUAAAUGAUAUAUUUAGGCUUUUGACCCAAAUAGAUAGUUAUCUUACUUAUUAGUCCAGUAGUGGUGCAGUCAAUUAAAUGAGCUAACCCGGGGAUCAUUUGGGAACAUACAAUAGUGGCUACAAUAAUUAGGCCUAUAAUUAAACUAGCCCAAUUAUUUAAUUCCAAAUCUACUCCACUAAAAGAUUGGAACUGACUUCCAUAAUUGUAUGCUCGAAUAAUAAUUCGUCCCAAGCCACAUUGAUUUCUUUACUGCACAAUCCUUUGUACCACAUCGUUAAUUAAAUUGAUAUCUCAACUGUCCAAUCAAUUUAAUAACAUCUUAUUCCUUGAUCCUUACUGGUUUUCUCUAAUGAUCAUUUUCAACAUACUAAAUAUGUUGACACACUCUGGCCAGAGAAUUCUAUGAUCAAGUGCCGAAAACCCAUCAAGAGAUGUGUUGUACAAAUUCUAUAUUGUUAAUCUAUAACUCCAAUACUCAUAAAUGCUCCCACCAAGAUACCGGGUAAUCUAGACUACAUGUAUGUGUCAUGCCCAUUGGUAACUCAAAUGAAAUAACAAUUACAAUCAUGAAAUCAUAAUUAACUCAAGAUUAAGAUUACAGUAAAAUCAAUGCCUAUGAGAUUUAAUAAGUCUGACAGUUAUUACAAAGUUAAUUAAAUCUCAUAUGUGAUCCUGUUCAAUGUAGUCGUACUACAUCAAUAAAUCCAUACAUGAUUAAGACAAAUCAUUCAAUGAAUUUAUUACAGUCUAUACCUAAAUAAAGUGCCCCACUUUAUUUAUCAACUGCGAACUAAAUUUAUUUAAUCAUAAGAUAACUUGUAUUUAUGUCUUCUGUGAAUCCACAUGGUGAUCACAUAAAUAUAAUAUGAUUAAAUGGACUUUAAUAAAAAUAUUAAUGCAAUUAAGAUAUUUGCAUAAAAUACCUCAUUAUUUUUAUUAAUCAGAAAAAAUAUUUAUUACAAUUAAAUAAACACAUAUGUUUUUAAAGAGCAUAUUUUCCCAACAGUCCAUUCGACGCAUAUUUCCACCCCCAUUACCCUUACAUAAGAAAAGAUUUCUGGUGCUUGGAACAUUACUCCAUAUCUUUUCAAGUCUAUUCAAGUCUGUUAAUAAUUAAGCUAAACCUAUGAGUCUCCAAUAUUGGGCGAAUUAAAUUUUGAAAGCAGGCCAACCUAUUGUCAGAUCUGCCUUUCAAAUUAUUGACUUAAUUUUGCCAAAGGUGAAACAUUUGAAGAAGAAUCCUUCUAAACAGGUAGUGUUGGUCGUUGUUGUCCUCCUGAGAAAGUGUCAUUAGCUUGAAACCUAUUGCAAAUGUUGAUCCAAAAUGGCUUCAAGGUUUCGUUGUAGAGCUGACGACAAGCUUUUGUAAAGGACUUCCAAUUUUGAUGCACAACAAUGAUAAUAGGAGCGCAAAUCCAUGUAGUGUACAAAAUGAUAUGACGAAUGUCCGAGCGUGGAACAAAUGUGGAGACCAAAAAGAUUGCAGAAAUAGAUCCGGAGACAACUGCUACAAGGGCCCAAGAUUGGGAAGAAUUUUCUGAAUGAAGUCGAGACUUGAGGUCAGCUGAAUGUGCAUAACAAUAUAUGGCUGUGGCUAUUAAGAAAGACCAUAUGUUUAUUGAGUGUGUUUCAAGCAAGGACUUUGUUUGGCCUUGAACAUUCGCACCCACAAUGCCUAUGAGAGCCGCAGUAAGAUACCCAAAAAUGUGGGGAUAGGACAUUGAGGAGAAGUGAUUUCGCCCGCUGCAACAUUGUCAAAACGAUUCAUCAAUCUUCUGUAUAUUCCAUUUCCUUUGAAAAAAAAUAAAAUUAAAAAGACCAUGUAUUAAUUUCCUCUCAAUUUGUGUGUCAAUGAUUUGCUUUUGACCAAACCAAUUCUCCUUUAAAAAUUUGAGGGGGCAUCUUUUCAUUUGCACGAAAAUUUCACCCAAAUGUUUCAUCAAAAUUUUGGUGUAUACACAUUGUUUUAACAGCUUUCAUGACUCACCCCCUUUUCUGUUAAAUAUUGUUUCAUCAAAAUUUUAUUAUAUACAUACUUUUUUGAAUAGUUAAAUAUUGUUUUUGCCGUUAUUUUUGACAUCUUUGACAUUAAAAGACAAUUUUGCCCUUAUUUAAAAUUUUUAAGUGUAAAAUUACUAGAAAACCACAACACUAGUCUCAAAUUUCAGUUGACCUAUGUGGAUAUUAAAAUUUGUUAAAGGUUAAAAAAAAAAGUAAAAAUGUUUGGUUAUGGGAAUCGAAAUAUCCCCUACACCAUCAUCCAUAAUCAUCUAUUCACGAUAGCAAUUUAAUAAACUUGAAAAAGCAAGAAAUCCAAUCCCAGUCAAUCAAACAGCCAAUUUUCUUCAUAGAGUUCAGCUUUCGCCUAUAAAAACUCUAACCCUUGAGACCCUAAAUAAACCCAUAUUCAAAGUUACAUGUUUCUAUAACGAAAACCUUCAAUUUACCCCUUUAAAAUUUUGAAAGCAUUAAUUUACUUCUAUUUAUCAGUCAAAAGAUUAGAAUACAUGGAGACACGCUAAUAACAAACUUUUUUACUCCUUAAUGAAAUUUGAUAAAUAUAAAUAAAUUAAAGAUUAUAAUUUUAAGUGGGGGUAAAUUAAAGAUCGUACUCUUUUUUUUAUUGUGUCUUAAUAAGAGAAAGAAAGAAAACAGAAAACAAAUCACUUCUAUAGGAGGCGUAACAAAAUUUUCAGCUAGGACUUCACCAAUUUUUUCACGGAAAUUAAAUUAGGAGGAAAAAAAAAACACUUUGAAGAGGACUGCAUAUAUAUAUAUAUAUAUAUAUAUAUAUAUAAUAAAUACAACUUGAGUCAAUAAUGGUAAAGAAAAUGACCAUACACUGAAGGGUUUGGAUUUGGAUGAUGCAGAAUGCAGUGGCAGCUUUGCAUUUGCAUAUAUGUAUCUCAGCAAACCCUGGAUUGAGUUUUCUUUUUCUCGGCAAAUAAGGUAGGGAACAGCAAAUGUGAUCGAUUUGAAAAAAAAAACAAAAACAAAAGCUUAGCUUGAAACUUGGAAGGAAAAAGGGGGGAAAAAUCUCACUUUAAGAACAUCUAAAUUAUCUCUGCUGAACUAAAUUAUCUCGUGGCUUGAGCUUUCAUAGCUUAUAAUUUAUAGAUGUCAAAUGUGUGGACUAAGGGAGGCCCAUGCGCCAUGCGGGGGUUUCCUAGAAGGCUAGAAAGUAAAGAGUGUUCCGAAGAAAUAUCUCUGCUUAACAUGUUAAGUAAUUAAAUCAGAGCCUCUCACAAGGUUGUGCGCCCAAAUAGAAUCCACAACAGGCUGUGGCUUACGUGAAUAGAGUGAUGCAAUUGUAAACCAGAUAGUGGCAUUUUUUUAAAGGUUCGGUCAAAGGCGGUUAAAUAUAAUAAUAAAAUAUUAUAAGAUACAUAUUUUCUUUGUAAUAAAUUGAAUAAACGUAUGACCUUAAAACUAAUUAUUAAUGCUUUAUUGGAAAAUUAUAUAGUUUAUAUGUAGAUAAUAUAUAUUAUACUUAAUUGUUGGGGUUUGAAAAGGAUUCGGGGGCAUAAAGAGGGGCGAAGUCAGAAAACAAAAUUUUGGGUGGGCUAAAAUUUUUUCCCAGUCCAUAUGUGAUCUCAAUUAAAAAUAUAAAUUUUAAAAGAAAGUUUCAUUAACACAUAAGAAAAUACAUCAUAUCCAAGAAGCAAUCAAAUUACAAGUAAACACUAUUUAAGUUGUGCCUUACCAUUCUUUAAAAAAUUAAAGUUAUGUUUUAUUAUGCUUUCGAGAAUUAAACUCAUCCAUUAUCGGUUUUGAAUUUAUGGUGUCUACAAAUUCUUUUUCAAUGUAGAUAAUAAAGGCAAUGCAACUGUCAAUCCAUCAUUAUGACACAUUGAUAAUAUUCAGAAGUCAGACAAUAAGUUUAAUUAACAAAUUAACAUUAUACAUAAUAUACUGGAUCAAAUCUAUGAUCUAUCUCUAUCAAAAAUCAAUUUAAAAAAUUGAAUGCUAGAAUUCAAUGGCUAAAUUAUCUUCAUUUGAUCUUUACAAUGAAAUUGGAACAAGAAUUAAAGAGCAUGAUUUUUAGUCUUUAUUACCCUAUAAUCAAUAAAUAUUUUGUAAAUGAUUGAAUAAAAAAUAAAUCUAUUAUUUGUUCUUACCAAGAAGAAGGCGAAGAACUGAAGAAGCAAAGAAAAAAAAAUCAUGUUUGAAAUCUCGAAUGAAGUAAAUGCUGCUCACUUUUUAAAUUUAUUUAUAUGAAUGACAAAGUUGUAGAUUAACAUAGUGGUGCAAUUGUAAAUAAGAUAGUGGCGUCUUUGUAAACUUUGCAUAAUGGCAAUUUUGUAAAAUUCAGACAGGCGGUAGCCCGUCUCAAUCCACGCGGAGCCUUGCCACCGAGUGUAAACAUAGAGAAUAAUUUAUAAAUCCAAUAAGCUUAGUUAAAGUAAAAUACUUGACUUUAAGAAAUUUCUAAUAAUCUUCUUCAUCUUAACCAAAUUUUUGAAGUGAAAAAGAUUCAUGGCACCUUGUGUUGUACUUUAGCAAGAGAAAGGAGAAAAAAGAAAACAAAUCGCUUUCAUAAUCAUAGGGGCUUCACCAGUUUUUUCACAACGCAAAAUUGACGGCCGUUAUGACCGUAAAUGCCUAUGUUAGAUUUGACGGAGAAGUCACGGGAUUACGCGAUGAUCAUCAGCGUCUCCAAAUUUUAAUGCCUCUGUUCAAAAAGAAUUGAGAAAUGCUAAAGGUCGGGAACGCUGAGAGAACACUGAGAGAAACGGCAGGUUGUGCUGUCGUUUCGUGUUCUCUCAGCUCCACCCCCCCCCCCCCCCCCAACAUGACUAAGAAAGCGAACCCUCACAUGAAAAAAUACUUCAGCUCAAGUCACUUUUACCAAAAGCUGCCGUUUGGCCCCACACUCAAGUCACUUUUGCCAAGUGAAUUCUGCCCCCCACGUGAAAGUUUGAGUUCUCUCCUUGCUCAUGACCAAGCAAAGCUAAGUUUGAAUUCUCUCCUUACUCCUUCACUCGUUCACUUCUUCUUCGUUUCUCGUUCACGCUCAUCACAAACCAAGAUAACUUGCUCCCAUUAAUUUCAAAUAUUAAACUGCUUUGUUGAGUUCUACAACCUGAAAGUACAAUUCUUUCAACAUUCUAACAGCAUCCUAGUUCACAGUUAGAUAUCAGAAACAAAUGUUAACAUAUUUAAUGCCAAUCUUUAUUCCAUGAGAACUUUUUUUUUUUUAAUACUGAUUAAUCAUCAUAUUACUGCAUUACACAGAUAUUUACAACUGCUAUUAUAGCAGAUAUAUUACACUGAUAUUUACAAUCAGAAAUAUAUGAUUGGGACUUAUAUUAUUACAUUGAAUUCUGUGAAGUACAUGCCCAGACAAAUAAUCCCUUACAGAAGAGGGAUGUCCAUACUCCACUCGUAUUGCACGAGGGAGAGGAAAUUUUUGAAAUAUUAAACAAAUAAGCACGUUAGCCCCACAAAUGCUUUUAUGGGGGCUUGAACCGCUGUCCUCACAAGCAUUGUGAGGGCAGCAGCCCAGCACUCCGACCAAGGCCGAAGUGUAUUCCAUGAGAACUUAAAAUAUCCAAAAAGAGAUGCAUCUACCCUACAUAUCUAUUUACACAACAAGUGUCCCUUCAAUUCCAACAGAAUAUACAUGCCUCCAUCUUAAGAUUUCAUAUGGCAUGGAAAUUAAAAAUUUCGUCAACUGAUAGAAGCCACCACACAAUGGCAAAAUAUAUAUGUUUAUUAUCAAAGAACAGAAGGCAUCAUUUGAGCAAAUUAAAGAGACAACUAUUCUCAGCCAUUCUUCUCAAUAUGGGAUAGACUUCUUGUAUCGUCAUAUCCACUCUCAGCACCAUAGGCUGGUUGUUCCUUAUGCAAUCGGCGCCCUUUACAAUCACCCACUUGAGGGACUUUUGCUCGACACUUUGGGUGGAGCCCUCUCUUUUCUUGUCUCGGGAAUGACUGCACGAACAGCCGUGAUAUUUUUCUACUUUGCUGUGAUUAAAACUGUUGAUGAUCACUCUGGGCUUUGGUUGCCUGGCAAUAUCUUCCACUUGUUCUUCCAGAACAACACCGCUUAUCACGAUGUCCACCAUCAACUUCAGGGCUUGAAGUACAACUAUUCUCAGCCAUUCUUCUCAAUAUGGGAUAGACUUCUUGGAACUCACAUGCCUUACCAUCUAGUCAAGCUACCUGAAGGAGGUUUUGAGGCUCGGCUAAAGAAAGACUAGAUGCUAUUAAGACAAUUUGACUGUAUCAUAAAUUAAUUAUUAAAAUAAUUAUCAACAAUACAAUUACCAAAAUAAUUGUGGGAGUUGGAGUUCAUGUGGGAGUGCUGGAGAAGGAAUUGAAAAUAGAAAGGAAAAGGAGUUGAGAGGGAGUGAAGGAGUGCUGGAACAGAUCUGUUGAAAGCGAAGAAGGAAGAAGGAGUGCUGGAACGGAUCUGUUGAAAGCAAAGAAGGAAGAAGGAGUGCUGGAACGGAUCUGUUGAAAGCAAAGAAGGAAGUGGAAGAAGGAAAAUGAUUUGAAAGUCACAUGGGGGACAGAUAUCUGUUACUCACGUGGGGGGAGGGGGGGGAGGUGAGAGAACGAAACGGCAGCACAAGCUGCCGUUUCUCUCAGCGUUCUCUCAGGGUUCCCGAUGUUUAGCAGCACUCGAAAGAAUUAACCUCCGCUUCAGAUCGAACGACUCACGAAGUAACUUCGAAAAUGUAUAUAAGACACAUGCAUGUUGUUUAAUUGUUAAAUUGUUCCCUUUGUAGGUGCUUGUGGACUCCAAAUUAAUUGUACGCCUUUUAAAUAGAAAUAAGUGCAUUAAAUAUUUUUUCCUUUUUACUUUAUUUUCGGAAUUUUUGGGAAAAAGCGAUGACUCAUGAGAAGAAGAAGAAGAAGAAGGAUAGUAGAAUACAUAUAAUAUCGGGUUUUUUUUUUUCACUUUUUACUUCUUUCUUUGAUUUUUUUUUUUUAAUUUUUUAUUAUCCCUUUUGUGUCAUUGGAGUCCAAAAAUAUUGUGUAUAAAAAAAUAACCCGCCUUCUGAGUUUAUGACAAUUUACCAUGCGUUAAUAACGCUUGAUGAAAAUGUUGCAAUCAGGUAGUGUAGAAUCAAUAAUUAAUGAAAUAUAAAAUAAGAAGAGUAAAUCUUAAUAACGCACCAAUAUUACAAAUCAAUAGCUAAGGAUCAAGCGAAAUUUCACCAGCAAAUUAGGACAGCAGAGGCAGCAUCCAUAAGCGUAAGAGUAAUUAUGUCACUCUGAAAUUUCAUAAGAGUAAAUUAGGACAGCAGGGAAAGGAAUAAACAAAGCAAUUUGCAAAGGACAGAGGCAUAAACAUAAUAGUAAUUAUAAAAUGUCAGACUGUAAGAAACAAGUAAAAAAUGUAUAAUAUUUUUCACAGUAGUCCGACGAUUCGUCAAUGUCUUUGUAAAAAGCGAAUAUUUUCAAAGGUAAAUAACACUCACACAAAUGUUUAAUCAAUAAUACAGUUGUUUUUUUGAAGUGAUAACUACUGAUUAUAUAUUGAUUCUUCAAAAUAAUUACACAUUUAUCAUAAUAUUAUUUAUUUAUUUUAUAAUUAAUAUAAUACUUUAAAGAUAUUUAAAAAAUUUUCAACUUGACAAUGUUCAAUAAAGGGUAAAGUUUAAAUUAUGUUACAAAAAGUCUUUGAACAAUAUAGAGCAAAGCUUUUACUUGUAUAACAAAAGAAAGCAUAUGAGGGGAUAAAAAGACUGAAGGUAUGAGUUUGAUUAUUAUCACAAUAAUUAUUUCUAUUUCAAAGAUUGAAAUCUGAACAUUAUUAUAUUUUGUGGAAUUUUCUCCAUUACUUUUUCAAAGUACUACAUGUACAUGGAUGAUUGUUUGUUACUGCGAACGGCAAAACAUUUAAUUUGGAGAAAAUUCCUUCUAGACUGGUAGUGUUGGUCGUAGGUUCCCUGUCGAGGAAGUGUUAUUAGCUCGAAACCUAUUGCAAAUGUCAAUCCAAAAUGGCUUCAAGGUUUCGUUGGAGAGCUGACGACAAGCUUCUGAAAACAACGUGCCAUAUUGAAACACAACAACAAUAAUGACAGUGCCAACCCACGCAGUGUACAAAAUGAUAUGGCCAAUAUUAGAACGUGGAAUAAAGGUGGAGAUCAAAGAUAUUGCAGAAGUAGAUCCUGAGACAACAGCAAUAAGGGCCCAGAAUUGGGAAGGAUUUUCGCGAUGAAGUCGAGACUUGAGGUCUUCUGAAUGUGCAUAACAAUAUAUGGCUGUGGCAAUGAGAAAAGACCAUAUAUUUAUUGAGUGUGUUUCAAGUAAGGGCUUAGUUUUACCUUGCACAUUUGCACCCACAAUACCUAUGAGAGUCGGAAUUAGAUAUCUAAAAAUGUUGGGAUAUGACAUUGAGAAGAAGAGAUUCCGCCCACUGUAAAAUUGUUAAAAUGAUUAAUCAUCUUAUGUAUAUUCCAUUUCCUUCAAAAAAAAAUUAAAAUUAAAAAACACUGUGUUAAUUUCCUCUGAAAUUGUCUAUCAAUUAUUUGCUUUGACCAACGCAAUUCUCCUCAAAAAAUUUGAGGGAGCACUUUCAUUUGCACCCAAAUGUUUCAUUAAAAUUUUAUUGUAUACACACUUGUUUCAACAGUUACUAUGGCUCAGGCUGCUCACCCUGUUAUGUUAAGUAUUGUUUUUACUGUUAAUUUUGACAUCUUUGAGAUUAAAAGACAAUUUUGACCCUCCUUAAAAUUUGUAAGUGUAAAAUUAUCAGAAAACCACAACACUAAUUUCAAAUUUCAAUUGACCUGUGUGGAUAUUAAAAUUUCUUAAAGGUUAAAAAAAACAGUUAAAAUAUCUCCUAUACUAUCAUCCACGAUCGUCUAUUCAUGAUAACAAUUUAAUAAACUCGAAAAAGCAAGAAAUCCAAUCCCAGUCAAUCAAACAGCCAAUUUUCUUCAUAAAGUUUAGCUUUUGCUAUUAAAAAUUCUAACUCUUGAGACCCUAAAUAAACCCAUAUUCAAAGUUAUGUGUUUCUAUUACGAAAAUAUUCAAUUUACCCCUUUAAAAUUUUGAAAACAUUAAUUUACUUCUAUUUAUCAGUCAAAAGAUAAAAAUAAAUGAAGACACCUUGACCAUAAACUUUUUAACUUUUUAGUGGCAUUUGAUAAAUAUAAAUAAGUUGAAAAUUAUCAUUUUAAGUGGGGAUAAGUUAAAAAUUUUACUCUAUAUUUAUUGUGCUUUGAUAAGAGAAAGAAAGAAAACAGAAAACAAAUCUCUUCCAUAGCAGUCUUAACAAAAUUUUCAGCAGGGACUUAACCAAUUUUUUCACGGAAAUUAAAUUCCAAUUUUUUUCACGGAAAUUAAAUUAGGAGAACAAAAACACUUUGAAGUGGACUGCAUAUAAAAACUCAAAAAUAACAUACAACUUGAGUCAAUAAUGGUAAAGAAAAUGAACGUACACAGAAGGGUUUGGAUUUGGAUGAUGAUCGAGAAUGCACUAAAAGCUUUGCAUUUGCAUAUACAUAUCUAUAUAUAUAUAUAUAUAUAUCUCUCAUAUACAUACACACACACACACAUAUAUAUAUAUAUCUCAGCAAACCCUGGAUUGAGUUCUCUUUUUCAGGGUAAAUAAGGUAGGGAACAGCAAAGCCGAUCAAUUUGAAAAGAAAAAAAAAAAAAACUAAAACUAAAAUGUAAACUCAGAUGGAAACUUGGCAGAGAAAACGUGAAAAAGAAAAAAAAAAUCUGUCACUUUAAGAACAUCUCAAUUAUCACUUUAAGAACACCUCAAUUUAUAUGUUCAAGUGCGGUGAUGCUGGUAGAGGGUUUAGUAGAAAGUUAACGGUUUCGUAGAACAGAGUCCUUUGUUGCAACUUGCAAGAGAGGACUCUGUUAACUUUGCGAAAAUCUGACUCGGCAAAAUCCACUCAUACAUCUUGUAAUGUUGAUGUAGUUUCUUUAUUUUUGUUUUUUUUUUUUUUUUUUGAGCUCCCAGACAAAAAACUUGUGUUGAAAAUUAAAAAUGAUCGAUUAAUGGGCUCCCCUCUCAAUUUCAAGGCCGAAAGGGCCGCUGUGCCCCAUGUGAAAAUUUCUUACAAUUAGAAUCAAAUCCACGUCAUACAUAUGAUGACAUGAUGUAUAUUUAGUAUGGUUUAUUCAAUGAUUAUAAGUAUUUAUUUAAUUUUUUAAAUUCUUGAUCAAACAAACGCCAAGAGAGACAUCUGUAAUUACGUUUAACGAGCAUUUUCGAGGAAUUGUUUCUAAAAAUAACUAAAACGGGAAAAGCCAAAUGGGAAAAUUUGGGUUGGAUGGAACUUGGAAAAGGACAAACAUGAAAGUUCAAAGUUUGCUUGGUUGGGCUAUUUUCUGCAAGUGGGAGAGACAGAGUGAUACAGCAUUACCAAUCUCUUUGGAGUGGCCCAAUCCAUAUCUUGGGGAAUCAUUUGAAGAACGGGCUGAACCACACCAGGAGGAAGAUACAACUAGGCCCAACACAGAACCAGUUGCAGGCCCCUCACGAAUGAGAAAACCACCCAGCUGGCUGAAGGAUUAUGUUGUUUGAGAGCAAGGAAGUUGUGGAUUCCUUUCUAGAAUCUUUUAUUCGUUUGAUAUUUUCUUUUGGCUUGACCAUUGCUAUUUUUUGUAACCACCUUCUGUUAGAGGUUGCUAGAGGAAAAAGCAUAUAAGUAUUGUAAUGUUUAAAAAGGCAAUGGAAUAUUUGGUUCUCUUUCUUCUAUGGAAUUUCCUUUCUUCUUAAUCAUUGUUCUGUUCUUAAUUCUUUUUCUUGGAGCUGGCACUCGCUCGAAGAGUGUUUUGUUGAGUGGAUUUGCUUGUGUUGCAGGACAAGCGUAUCAUUGGUGCUUUCAUCGACUUUUCCAUGGCUGAUUCAGAGGUGUUGGCAGCAGUGAAGGCACUCCAAACACAAUUUGAAGGCCAAACAAUUGCGAUUCAUCAAACCUUGCAGCAGUACAUGUCUACAGUGGAUUCUCGUCUUGAGGAUCUACAUUCUCAGAUCCAAGGGUCUUCAAGUGUUUUGGCUGCAUCAUCCGGUUCCGCACAUCGCUCUUCUCUAGUUGCGGAGGGGCAUUCCAGACACAUCGAUCUCUCGCCGGUAUUACGAUCAAUGAAAAUGGAGGUUCCCAAGUUUGAUGGCUCUGACCCGAAUGGGUGGGUGUUUCGUAUUGAAGAGUUUUUCGAUUUCCAUGAAACUCCAGAGCACUUGCGCUUUCGCAUCGUCGCGUUUCACAUGGAGGGGAGAGCGGCAGCCUGGUACCAAUGGAUGAAGGCGAACAAACUGAUAACAACAUGGAAAGCUUUUUUAAUUAGUCUGAAGCAUCGGUUUGGCGCUUCAAUGUAUGACGAUCCUCAAGGUACACUUUCCAAACUCACACAAACCACCACAGUCGCAGAGUUUCAGUCCGCCUUUGAAGAUUUGAUGAAUAAGGUCACUGGGAUUUCUGAACCUUUGUGGAUCAGUUUCUUUAUCACUGGUUUGAGAACGGAUAUUCGCAGGGAGUUGAUGUUUUCCCGCCCCACAUCUCUGAUGGAAACAUUUGCUCUCGCAAAAGCUUAUGAAGCUCGUUCAGAGAAGGCCAAAAUGAGUAGUCGCCCUUGGACUAAAUGGCCCCCACCGUCAGCCCCAACUAUGACUAUUCCAUCCGUCAACAAAAUUCCUCCACCCUCACAUGUGCCUGUUCCCCACCACACCACAAACAGUUUCCAUGCAGGUCCCACAACACACCAACAUCCUAAACAAACAAACCUUCCAGCCCUCUUACCUACACCAAAUUUACCAGUUCGCCGCCUCACUCCAGCUGAAUUACGAGACAAACGAGAAAAAGGAUUGUGUUAUAACUGUGACCAAAAGUACACCGCUAUUAUGUUAGCUCCCACUCCUCCUUGAAGUCAAUCUUGCUCCACGAAUUUCAUGCUACCCAUGGGCUGGACAUACGGGCAUAAAACGGACCUUGGUUCGCUUGGCUUCGACAUUUUAUUGGUAUAAAAUGAGAACUGAUGUUGAAAACUUUAUAACUGCUUGCCUAACCUGCCAACAAGUCAAGCAUUCAACUCAAGCCCCAGCAGGGUUGUUACAGCCGCUACCUAUUCCAUCAUUAGUAUGGGAUGAGGUCACUAUGGAUUUCAUUACGGGCUUGCCACCAUCACGAGGGCUCACUAUUAUCCUUGUCGUUGUGGACCGUUUGACUAAAUCAGCACAUUUUGGAGCUCUACCUUCUCAAUUUUCAGCUGUGACAGCAGCGGACUUAUUUGCUAACAUGGUCGUUAAACUCCAUGGUUUUCCUAGUUCCAUUGUGUCAGAUCGCGAUCCAAUUUUUAUGAGCAAGUUUUGGAAGAAGCUUUUUGAACUAAGUGGCACUUCCCUACGGCAUAGCACAGCCUAUCAUCCGCAGACAGAUGGGCAAUCCGAAGUUGUGAACCGCGGGCUUGAACAAUAUUUACGAGCUUUCACUCAAGAAAAACCACAAUCGUGGGUCUCUUUACUUUGCUGGGCAGAGUUCAGUUACAACUCCAGCUAUCACAGUGGUCUCAAGAUGACACCAUUUCAAGCAUUGUAUGGGCGUAUUCCACCUACUAUCCCAGCUUACUCUAAGGGCUCUACUUCAAUCCAAGCUCUCGAUGAUGCGCUGAUAGAGCGCGAUGCUAUCUUGCGCUCCUUGAAGGAAAAUUUGCGCCAAGCUCAGCAUCGAAUGACACAAAAGGCUAAUGCCCAUCGGCGUGAACUCCAGCUCAAUAUAGGAGAUCGCGUGCUUUUCCGCCUUCAACCAUACCGACAGACAUCUUUAGCUCAACGAGCAUCCCAUAAGUUAGCAAAGAGGUAUUACGGGCCAUUUACAAUAUUAGAACGUGUGGGACCAGUGGCAUACAAGCUGAACCUACCGUUAGAUUGCAAAAUUCAUCUUGUCUUCCAUAUUUCAAUGCUCAAACCCUUUAGCGGUUCCAGCCCCAUCACUGGGUUACCCUUACCUCAUGACAGCAUCAACAAUCGACCAUUCUCAUACCCGGCUGGCUGAAGGAUUAUGUUGUUUGAGAGCAAGGAAGUUGUGGAUUCCUUUCUAGAAUCUUUUAUUCGUUUGAUAUUUUCUUUUGGCUUGACCAUUGCUAUUUUUUGUAACCACCUUCUGUUAGAGGUUGCUAGAGGAAAAAGCAUAUAAGUAUUGUAAUGUUUAAAAAGGCAAUGGAAUAUUUGGUUCUCUUUCUUCUCUGGAAUUUCCUUUCUUCUUAAUCUUUGUUCUGUUCUUAAUUCUUUUUCUUGGAGCUGGCACUCGCUCGAAGAGUGUUUUGUUGAGUGGAUUUGCUUGUGUUGCAGGACAAGCGUAUCACAGAGUCUGGAAAGGGUUUCUUUUCUUUUUCUUUUUCUUUUUUUCAAAUACACAUAUAGCCACGUGUUGUCCCAUAUAAAAAAAUAAUACUUUAUAUAAGUCCGAGGUCAAUUGGGCUGGAAAACAUUUAAAAUCGAACAUAUCAGGCAUGUUGUAAGUUCGCAUUUGGAGAAUCAUGUUGUCAGCCCCACAACCCCCAAAUGGGAACUUUAGAUAGAAAUAUAUAGCAUCCCAACAAUAAUAUUUAUUAAUAAUAAAUUUACUUAUUACAAUUGUUUUUGUCAAAGACUCCUUGAUGGUAUUUCAUGUGUUGAAAAAAAUGUAAAAUAAUUUUAUUAUCGAUACAAUUAAAAACAUAUUUUUCAAUAUAUAUAAUUAAAUUAUCACUUGAUUUGUUCUUAAAAUGUUUUAAUAAUAGCAAAAAUAUGGAUAUAAUGAAACAUGAAGAAAAAAUAUGAUUACAGACACAUUAGGGAACGGCAAUGAGGAGGGUAGGGGAGGGGACUGACAUCUCCAUAUCCAUCCUCGAUAUUCUACAUAUGUUCUCAUCCCCUUCCCAUCCCCGUCAGAAUUACUUGAGAAAAUAUUCAUCCCCUCCCUAAAUAAUAACAGGGGAUCUCUAAGAGUCUCCGAUCCCCACGUAAUUGAUACAUUUUUUAUUUUAAUUUUAAUUAAUUAUAUUAAAAUAAUUUUUUUAAUAAAAGUACAGUUAAGGCGGCAGCUAGCUGCCAUAGAAAAUUAGAAAUUAGGUUUUAUGAUUUUGCCUUAACUUUUGUUUUAUUGGAUAAACGUUUAAAAUAUUUAAUGAAUAUUAUAAAUUAAAAAAAAAAAUUGGGCCAACAAGAUCCUGUCUGGCUUUUUUUAUGUCCUAAAUAGAUAUUUAAGAUUAUAAAUAGUUAAGUAGGCUCAUUAAAGCAUCUGACAAAUUGUUACAUAAAACCAGGAUAAUUAGAGUGCUAAUCAAAUAACCCAAAUUAUAGAUUCCCUAAUCAAACAAACAUAACAAAAAAAUUUUGAAAUACAAUUUUUUUUUCAGAAAUGCGAAUUGGCACCAAAUAAAAUUGAGCAAAAGCUAAUGCUGUCCUACAAGUUGACAUGGUCCUCCUUUAGCAAGGUUCAAAUAGGGAAGACCAUAGUAAAAAUAAGAGGAAAUAAUUUAACUUUAUCUAUAAAUCCUACAAUUUAGAUGCUAGUAAAAUAACUCCAAUCUGAAGCAUCAAAUGUACAAGAUUCAUAAGCAAAAACAGGUUACACGAUUAGUUAUUACCUGGAUUACGUUGUACAUAUUACAUGGUAUACCUAAUCAGACAAAUAACAGGUUACAAUCCAAGUUUUGUUGAUCAUGAAAGGUUUGAGCGUGAUAGUCCAUUUAGGUCAUUAGGUCAGCCAAAUGGGAGACCAGUGGAUUUGGAGGGUUUGUAUACAGUGCAAACUGAGCUAAUAAUGCAUGUUCAUGGUUUUAUACGUGCCAGGUAUUUUUAUCCUGUAAUUGUGAAAUUGAUGACAGAAAAUUUUAUAUCGUAAUUUCUUGGAAUUCUGACUGCAUGCUUUUCUUCUAAUUGUUAUGUUUCUGUUAAUGAUGGGAUGACCAUCUUUCAGUGCAAUAAAGGUUGGAAUCAUAUGGUAUACCUAAAAUAAAUUGUCACGCUAGAUUGAUAUACUCAUUCUCUAAUCAACUGAGAGUAUCUUCUAGUUCAGCUAUUUCUUUUCUGGGUAUAAAAGAUAAAUGUUCUUUGAACUUGCCUCGUACGUUAACCUGCUACCAAUACGGUCUACCGUAUGUAUGUCUAGCAGUCAAGUGAAGAUAAAUUUGAAAUGUAACUAUUACGUUCGUUUGCAAUGUGGAAUAGUUACCUAGGAUGAUCAUGAGUAGAUACUUUCUGGAUGUCAUAAUUUGGGAUGUAGGUGUCCGUUUUUGGUGCAUAAUACAUUGUUUUGAAGGUUACGAUGAGAUGAAUCAAACCUAGAAUGCUCACACUAUUCUGCCCAAUCAUUUUGCAGUUUUAUGUUGUUUUCCUAUGUUUCUGUUAAUGAUGGGAUGACCAUCUUUUAGCAUAGUAAAGGUUGGAAUCAUAUGGUAUGCCUAAAAUAAAUUGUCACACUAGAUUUAUAUACUCAUUCUCUAAUCCACUGAGAGUAUCUUCUAGUUCAGCUAUUUCUUUUUGCGGUACAAAAGAGAAAUGUUGUUUGAACUUGCCUCGUAUGUUAACCUUGUACCAAUAAGUAUGAUUUAACUAAAGUCUUGAGCACACGAGCAGUUUUGCUUUUAAAAGAAAAACAACUAUUUACCCUGGCUGCUCUCUAUCUCUCCUCACCAACUGAGUCACCGGUUGGUUGCAUUUUACUAACGAUGCCGACUGAGAGAUCACAAUCCCUGUACGCGUCCACCCUAACUGAUUUUUACGGCAAUUAAUGAUAUAAAAUUAUUUAAAUGAAAGUAAUUUAAAUUUAUUUUUCAAGUCACCAGGAGCUUCAAUUCCUACUGGGCACCAUAUGGCACUGCCUAUGGAAUCAUUCAAUGGUCUUAUAGUACAUAAAUCACUUUCUUUUUCAUGUGUGGAUAGAGAUAAUAUGAAUAAACAUACGACUCUUUUCAAAUAUUAAAAGAAAAUAAAUACAUCAUUAUGAUAUUUACAAUAAAAAUCACACACUCAAGAUUUUAGUUAAAUCAUACUUAUUCAAAUUUCAGACAAAAAGAAAAAGAAAUGUCACCUUUAGCCUUUAAUUAAAAAGUGUAUGGGGUAAAUAUAUUAGUAAAUGAGAACUAGUAGUGGUCAAAACAUAAUAACUCUAAUUGUAGGGUCAAUUUUGUAAACAUAGUAAACUUUUUGAAUGUACGAUGGACUGGUUUUAUUGUUGUAGUUAAUUUUGUGUGAUACAAAAAGUGAGAGAGUGUGAAACGACGAUGAUGAGUCACAAAAUAGAGGAAUCUUUAUAUUUUCAACCCACUUAAACUGUCACAGAGAGAAAACGACAUGGAAUCUUUAAACUGUCACAGACAGAAAACGACAUGGAAUCGCGUUAUAAUUGCAAAAUCCACAAACUUUCUGCGAAACCGACUUACCAGCAAGUCGCGGACUCGCGGCCUCAGUUUCAACUCCCGGCAUCAGCGCACUUGAAAAUAUAAAUACCCCAGCGACGAGAUAAUUCUUUUAAGCAGAGAUAAUUGAGAUGUUCUUAAAGUGACAGUUUUUUUUCUUUUUCACCUUUUCCCUUCCAAGUUUCCAGCUGAGUUUACAUUUUUAAGCAGAGUCCUCUCUUUCUCUUCUAUAAAGGGAACUUGAUUUAUAGAAGAGAUAAGGCCGUGUCCCUUUGCUCAUUUGCUGCUGCAGCUCUCCUCUUCUUCCUUUUUCCUCUCUUAUCUCUUCUACUCUUCGAUUGCUCUGGUCGACACGGCCUUUGAUUGCUCUGUCAAUCUAUACAAGACAUAUACAACACGACUUCAGAUCUUUUAGGAUCGGGCUUCUCUCUUCGUACUUGCGGCUUUCUCUCUUAUAAAGGUUUCAUUUCGAUUUUGAUUUGGAGUAAUAGUCCUUCAGGAUCGUGCUUGUCUCUUCAUACUUGCGGCUGUCUCUCUGAUAAGGUUUCGUUUCGAUUUUGAUUUGGAGUUGCUUUUUCUUUUAUUUUCAAGUAGAUUUGUUUCAAUUGAAAUGUUGGUUGUUAAUUUGGUGUUGUGUUAAGUUUUGCAGGUAAUGAUUGCUCUGAUCAAGCUAUUACAAAAUGGCUGACGGGAAAAGAAAGUCAACCCAGCAAUCUUGACCGUCUCCCUUCUCUCUCUGACCUGAGCCACAACGUGUAUUUAAAAAUAAAACUUUACCCUAUAUAUAUACAGACAAUGUUCAAAAGAAAACAAAAAAAAAUCCCAAAUUUCUUUUUUAAAUUCUUACCAAUCAAUAAAAGUAUUUGAUAAUUUUUUUUUUCACAAUAACUAUGACUUGAAAAAAUUAAACUAAUAUUAAAUGAGACUAAAUACAUAAUGAUCUCUUAAAUUCCUGUUUUUCUAAAGGAAUGGAUCUAAUACUUUCCUUAAUAUAGUAUUUUAAUGGGUCUGCAGGAACAAAUUUUAUUUGUCCGCGAUGUCAAACGCAUACCAUAACGUGUUUGGAUACCUCAUUCCAAUUCUCAUCGGCAUCGUGGGAGCAAAUAUGCAAGGCACAACUGAGCGCUUGCUUGAAACACACACAACAAAUAUAUGGUCUUUUCUCAUAACCACAGCCAUUUAUUGUUAUGCAUAUUUAGCUCAUCAAGAGAAUUUUUCCCAAUCUUGGGCCCUUGUAGCACGAGUCUCCGGAUCUGUUUCUGCAGUCUCCCUAGCCUCCACAUUUGUUCCACGCUCUGAUAUUGGUCAUAUCAUAUUGUGCACUGCAUGGCUUUGCUCGUCCAUUAUCAUUGUUGUGCAUCAAUAUGGGGCGCUGUUUGCAGAAGCUUGUCGUCGGCUCUACAACGAAACCUUGAAACCAUUUUGCAGUCAGCUCUAUAACGAAACCUUGAAGCCAUUUUGUAUCAAUAUUUGCAGUAGGUUUCAAUCUAAUGACACUUCCUCGGCAGGACAACAACGACCAACACUACCAGUUUAGAAGGGGGCUUCUUCAAAUGUUUCACCUUACACAGUACUACAGUAGCAAGCAAUCAUCUCAUGUACACGCAGUAAUUUUGAAAAGUAACAGAGAAAACAUAUUAGUGUCCAGAUUUCUUUGCUUGAAAUAGUGCUAAUUACUGUCGUCAAAUUUCAUCUUAUUCUUUUUAUUCCCUCACAUGCAUUGUUUUAUUGAUAUUAUACAAGAAAAUGCGUUGUUCAAUAUUAUGCAAAUAUUUUUUUUUUCUCAAAUAAUUUAAAUUUCAAAGAUUGCAAUGAAAUUUAAUUUAAGGAUUGCCCUUGAGCACUGUCAGCUACGACUCCAGUUUCCUGCAACAAUGAAAAAUUCUGUAAUAGUAAAAAGUCUCUCUUUUUUCGCAAUAUUAAGUCAAUAAUUUGAAAGGCAGAUUUAACAACAGGUUGGCCUAAUUUCAAAAUUUAAUCCAUGUAAUAUAGAAAGAAGACUAGUUCAAUGUAUAUGAGUCCACCAAAAAGUUAUUAAAAAUUUAGGAUUAAACACUUGGAAAUGGCAAUUAGGUACUACCUCAAGAGAUUUUACUGCUUGAACCAACCAAGGGGGUAUGUUUGCAAUUGUUGUGACUAAGUAUAAAUAGAUGGUUGGUCAGUGGUAAGAACCAGCCUUCUAGCAUCUUUGGGCACAAAGAACUCAAGAAAAAAGCCCACAUGAGACACAAGACCCAAUGCUCAGCAUGCAGCAAGCUUAUCUAGAUUCAGGUGCUUUAUGGAUCAAAUUCACAUUACAUGAAAAGUUCACUAUUCAGAAUGGCACUCUGUAUGACAGCAAAGAGAUAAGUGGAAGAAAAAAAUCUGAAAAUCAACAUACCUUUUUCUUUGUGAUUAGGUAGUCGAACCCCACUAGCUCGCUUAUUUCAAGCAGCCAGGUCAGCUCAACACGGUCGUCUUGUAUCCUUCAAGAUGCACAACCCCUGUGAAAUUUCCAUCCUGGUUCCUACUAAUUUGCUCCACAAUUGCAUUCCCAAUCUAUUUAUGUGAAUCUUAUUUCCAGAGAUCAACUCGGCAUUGGCAAGGUCCAUCCAUAUUGUUUUUGCACAUGUUGUAGCUUUCACUCCUACACCUUUACGCGUCUUAUGCCUCAGUUUGAUGCGAACUCAUGGUUUGUCAAGGCCAUUGGUAAGAGUCAGUCAGUCAGCAAUAGUAAUAUCUGCCUUUCUUCAAUCACAGCAGCGAGUAUAGGGCACGCAGGAUUAAUAAUCUUCUUAUUAAUAUAGUAGUUCAAAGUUUGUCACGUUCCAAAUGGUUGAGACUGUUUGAAGCCGCCAGAAAAAGUAGAGAUACAAAAGUUAUUCUUCCACUUAAGUGAUAACAAAUACUAUAUGAACUAUGACAAAUUACUUCAGCUACAUUGUCUUAGCAGUUCAAGGAUAAACUGCAUCAGAGACUCAAUUUUCAGUCCCCUACGAAUAAUUCUUUGAAUGGCAAAAAAAAAAAAGAGGAUUAUCUAAUCCAUUCUGUACAAACCACAAAAGUUUGCUAAGAGGCAUGUUACAGCAUUUUCAACCGGCUAAACUCAAAAAUUUGAACCUUUAUAUUCCAUAUCCUCUUGAACCAAAUGGUAUCAAGCAUUACGAGCAUUGUACUCACUAGAUCUCAAACUAAAAGACGUGAGAAUUAGUCCAUAAGUUAGGUAUAUCUUGUAAUUUGACCUGAUUUGAUGGUGGGUCUGGGUUGCAACGACUGGACGGGAUCUCAGACGGACUUGCUGGAAUGUUGCAUGUCAACUUCCUGCUACGACAACACUCCUAACAAUUAACAUCCCAAUUUUGCUUAUGAAAAAACAGGGAGAUAUUAGAAUGAUAUCUCAAUACUUCAAGCCAUUCACAAACAUUUUCCAUGUAAUUGGUUGCAAUACCAGACGAGCUUAAGCCUGCCACCAAUAAUCUGCUUCACCUUAAAUCACGAAUAAGGCAAAAAUGCUAUCCUCCGCUCAUCAUUCGGCCUCAACAGAUCACAGGUGGAAGGUUAAGUGUGUGAGUAGUUAAAGGGGAAAUACCCUUUUUGAUAAAUGUGCCAAGAUGAAAGUCACUAUAGUCAAAAGGGUAUAAAUAUCCCAACACAAGUCUAUAUGGUCAUUUCCGAAACCACGCAAAGACGUCGGUGUCGUUUCCCCACAACAAUAAAUAGAAAUCACCAUACUUCCACAAUUAUCCAAAGAGCGCGAACCCUGACACAUCAUAAAAACUAUUAUAAAUCUAUUUACAGAAUAAACUUGACUGAACGGAGGCAUCGUGUGAUAUUUGCAUCCCCACAAUUUCUUAUCAGAUUCAAUUCAUAAAACAAAUAGGAACACGUAUAAAAUUUAAAUAAAAUUCUUUCAAAUUUUUUUUUUGUUUGGUGCGCGCGCGCCAAAAAUUGAAAUUUUGCAGAUUAAAUUACUACCAGAUGAUGAAGUACAAAACAAAAAUCAUCAUAUUCUGACAAUGACACAUAAUAGAAAACAAAACAAAAAAAAAAUCGAGACUUACGUUGUCAUUCAAAGCUUUGAUCCAAUUUGAGCAUCCUGAAACAGGGUUUUUCUUAAUCAUUCUUAGCGUUUUCUUCGUGAAGUUUGACUUUAUAUGCAAAGGAAAGUAGGUCACUAAUUAUUAAAUUAUCAAAAUACCCUUGACAUUUAAGUGUACAGGAGCUGACGCUUAAGGGUAUCGUAGUCAUUGUAUGGGUUUAGGCACCCAUUUGGGACGAAUAGAAAACUACCGUCCUUAUUUGAGAAAUAAUGCUAUUUGACACAGAAGUAUAAAUAAAUUCUCAACUUCCUCCCGUUUCCGUGAAAAUUUUGUUUUCAGUGCAGUGGAAUUGAAUUAAUCUGAAGGAAAAAAAAAAUUGUUGGUAUGUGGAAAUUAUACUUGAAACGUUGUCGUUUUUGGCAUAAUUGCUGUGAUAUACUUAUUUGCUUUGUGUUUUUAUUUCUUUUUUCUGGGUUUUAGGGUCACAAUCGGAGAGAGAAGACAAUGUCUCGUUGGAACUCUCUGAAGAAGUUCUUCAGAGCAUGGAAGUGGGCAUUUCUUUUAGAGAUUAUGUAAGAGAAUCUUCUAAUAAGUUUCUGUUUGAGGAACAUACUUGAUUUGCGUUUUAAAUGUAUCUGUUUGUUAAUUCAGUGUCGUUUUGUAUUGAUUCGUGUUUUAACAGAAUGGGAGAAUUAGUUCCUUGGAUUUUCAUAAAUCAUCGAGUUAUUUGGUGACGGCUAGUGAUGAUGAAUCUAUACGGCUGUACGAUGUCUCUGCUGCCACUUAAGUUGAUCCUCUGUUUCUUAGGAUUUUAUGUUGUCUCUUGGGAAGUGCUUUUAACUAAGAAAUGGCUUUUGAAUAAGUAUAAAAAGCUGGUUUCAAUCUUGCAAUGUUUGUUUGAAAUUGCAGGAAUAAUAAAGUGUCUCUUUUGAAAUCAAAGGAACCCUUGAAGUGUUUUUCUGGGGAAGUGCUUGAUAUCUGCUUUCAUGGAUAGAACUUUUUGGAUUAGGAAACCACUUGUAGUGCUGUUUGAAGAAGUGCUUCAUAUAUGUUUCAAAGUGAUUUUACUCGAGGGUACUUUCCAUUAAAGCAUUGCUGAACGUAUCAUCUGCGUGUUUGAUGAGCUCAUGAAAGCUACUGUCUUUCUAAGAUGGAGAAAAAUGCUUUUUAGAUGAAACAGAAAAAAAAAAAAAAAAAUAGAACCUUGGAGUGGUUUUCGGGGAAGUGCUUAAGGGAAAUGUAAUUGAUAUAUUUUUCAAGAACUUUUGUAAAAAGGCCUUUUCUUUUCUUUCUUUUUUUUUGUUUGCAUAAGCUCUUUCUAUAAGAUCACUGCCAAAUGCACUUCAGUUGUCUUAGCUGAGCAUGAUAGUUGGUAUUGCAAUUGUUGCUGAGAGCCUUAAUUGAAAUUUCAGAUGUUUGAAGACAAUUAACAGCAAAAAAUAUGGGAAUAUUUGUAUUUUGUUUGUUGGUGGAUUGCUUUACUAGGCACUUAUUUGAUACGUUCAUUUAUUCAGAAUCUCUACGGCUUCUUUCCUCGCACGAUAACAAGUACUUGCGUUACUUCAAAGGUCAUCAUAACAGGUUUGUAAUUCACUUAUUCUUGUAAAUAUUUCGUAAUUAUUAUUAUCUGUAUAUAUGUUUUACUGCUUCUAGGGUUGUUUCACUUAGCCUGUGCUCCUCCAAAGAUUGCUUUAUCUCUGGUUCUCUUGGUCAAUCUGUUCUGCUCUGGGAUCAACGGGCUGAGAAAUGCUAGGUGGAUAUCAUGCCAUCCACCAUUUUCAAUUGUAUUUAUGAUCUCUGUUGGCAAAUACGGGUCUUUUGCAUGUUCAAGGAAGGCCUGCUACAGCAUAUGAUGAUCAAGGGCCUGUCUUUGCAGUUGCCUUUGGAGGAUACAUAAGAAUGUUUGAUGCUCGUAAGUAGGAGAAAGUUAAAAUUAAUAUUUAAAAACAUCUUGGAAGUUUAUAUGUCGUACUUUUAUCAUGCACUAAUUUGGUUAAAUUUGGAUACAUCUUCUCUGAUGGUGGAGAUGUAUCAGAUUCUGAUGCUGGAAAGUUCAGCAAUGAUGGGAGACUUAUGCUUCCGACCUCUAUGGAAGGACAUAUUCAUGUGCUUGACUCAUUCCAAGGCACACUUGUGAGUUGACUUUUUCUUUCUUCAUCUCCCAAAUGUAACAUAUCGUACGUAUAUACCCCUCUAUACACUGGAAUCUCUGUGAAUGAGCUUCUGUUUACUCUUGUUUUUAUUUAUCCACUUAUGAUGCCAAGCCAGUUUCUCGCAAUUCCACAUUGGAGGCAUCUUUCAGCCCGGUAGAGUUUCUCCUUUCAGUUCUUAGGGCACAGUGACUUGGAUAUUUUGUUAAUAUUUGCUUUUGGCUGUUUUGAUAAUUUAUAUUAAAGUUCUUGCACUUGUGCUGUAUAUAAUUCUCAAAUUUGUUACCACCUUGUUGGUAUAUUGAAAUACACGACUUGAAAUGCUGGGCAUCAAGCUUGUUUCCGCAGAAUUCUUUGAAAUAAAUUCAUUUUCUCUUCUUCAUUGACUUGGUUUGAAACCCACUCCCAUCCAUGCAAAUCCAAAUGCGUACGUAUUUUCAUCUGGUUGUGCUUAUUAAUAAAAAUAAAUCAAUGAAAUGCUCAAACAGCAAGUGCACCCACACAUGUGGAAGCAGCCUAGUGUGGCCAAGCACCUCUCAUUUGUUUUAUGUGAUACAAUUGGUUUGUUGCACUCUUUGUGCUAAUUUUACUUUCUCGGUUUGGAAGGUUCUGAUGAUGGUAGUGGAUAUGCUUGGAGUGUACGGAGCGGGAAAGGGGUAUGAUAAGCAAAAUUCCUGGAUUCUCAUGCCUUUUGAAUGCUUAGAAUUCAAAGGGAUGUUAUUUCCCUUACAUUGACCCCAGUCAUAGCAUUCAUUGUCUUCUAGCCAAACCAACAAUGCUUUUGAAUCUACAUUUGAGCUUUGUAUAAGAAGUUGCACCAAUUAUGUAAGGAGAUGUUCAAUUUCCUAUAGUAGUAUGUAAAUGCAUCUGACUUACCUGCUAGUAACCUUUCCUAACAAGUUCUGAAGAAACAACAGUAGAUCUGGUAUCAGUACUUUAUUCAGAAGAGCAUUUCUUCUUACAUGCACAGCUAAGAGUACAUGAAUUGAGCUACUGAAGCCCUUCCUGACCAACCUGGCUAAGGCUCCGUUCAGUUUGUCCUCUUCAUGGUUCUUUGGCAGGCAACAGCGUAAGCAAUUACCUGGACUAUGAGGCCUUUUGUAGCGGGGUGGGCACUGCCUAGGCAGUUUUUGAAAAAAUUAGGAGCUUUAUUUGUCAUUGACAUUU
rnacentral:lncRNA from 1 species